rnacentral:rRNA from 1 species
GAUGAACGCUGGCGGCGUGCCUAAUACAUGCCAGUAGAACGCUGAAGGAGGAGCUUGCUCUUCUGGAUGAGUUGCGAACGGGUGAGUAACGCGUAGGUAACCUGCCUGGUAGCGGGGGAUAACUAUUGGAAACGAUAGCUAAUACCGCAUGACAACAGUUAUUGCAUGAUAACUGUUUAAAAGGGGCAACUGCUCCACUACCAGAUGGACCUGCGUUGUAUUAGCUAGUUGGUGAGGUAACGGCUCACCAAGGCGACGAUACAUAGCCGACCUGAGAGGGUGAUCGGCCACACUGGGACUGAGACACGGCCCAGACUCCUACGGGAGGCAGCAGUAGGGAAUCUUCGGCAAUGGACGGAAGUCUGACCGAGCAACGCCGCGUGAGUGAAGAAGGUUUUCGGAUCGUAAAGCUCUGUUAUAAGAGAAGAACGAGUGUGAGAGUGGAAAGUUCACACUGUGACGGUAUCUUACCAGAAAGGGACGGCUAACUACGUG